rnacentral:tRNA from 1 species
GCCGAAGUGGCGAAAUGGUAGACGCGCUACGUUCAGAACGUAGUGGGGGUAAAACCUCAUGUGGGUUCAAGUCCCACCUUCGGCA